rnacentral:rRNA from 1 species
UACGUAGGGGGCAAGCGUUGUCCGGAAUUAUUGGGCGUAAAGAGCGCGUAGGCGGUCCGAUAAGUCGGCUGUGAAAGUUAGGGGCUCAACCCUUGGAAGCCGGCCGAUACUGUCGGACUAGAGUCCGGAAGAGGCGAGUGGAAUUCCCGGUGUAGCGGUGAAAUGCGCAGAUAUCGGGAGGAACACCAAUGGCGAAGGCAGCUCGCUGGGACGGUACUGACGCUGAGGCGCGAAAGCGUGGGGAGCAAACAGG